rnacentral:rRNA from 1 species
UAUGUGAUCGUCUCUCGCAUAUCAAUAAGCGGAGGAAAAGAAACUAACAAGGAUUCCCCUAGUAACGGCGAGUGAAGCGGGAAGAGCUCAAAUUUGAAAUCUUAAAGGGUUUCCCUUUACGAAUUGUAGUUUAAAGAAGUGUUUUCUGUUGAGGUUUUGGUAAAAGUUCUUUGGAAUAGGACAUCAUAGAGGGUGAGAAUCCCGUAUUUGACCUUUACUUUCAACUUUGUGAUACACUUUCAAAGAGUCGGAUUGUUUGGGAAUGCAGUCCAAAAUGGGUGGUAAAUUUCAUCUAAAGCUAAAUAUUGGCGAGAGACCGAUAGCGAACAAGUACCGUGAGGGAAAGAUGAAAAGAACCUUGAAAAGAGAGUUAAACAGUACGUGAAAUUGUCAAAAGGGAAGCGUUUGACACCAGUGUUGUUUUUCUGAAAAUCAAUUAAAGAACUGUUUAUGCUAAGUUGUUUAGACUUUAUCAGCUAACUGUUUAGUUUUGAGCUUUUCUUUAAUGCACUUUUCAGUUAACAAGUCAACAUCAAUUUCUUUUGCUGUAAAAAAGCUUGAGGAAGGUGGCUUGAGAUUCGUCUUAAGUGUUUAUAGCCUCUUGCCUAUGCAGUCGGAGAGAUUGAGGUCUGCAGCGUAGAUCCUUCGGGGCUAAAUGCAUUUGUGCUAAGUUAUAGCAUUUUAUAGACAACUUGCUGACUAUGAUUUGUCUUGUAGCUUACUCGCUUAUGUUAUUUUACCUACGCUUAGGAUGUUGAAGACUCUACAGAGAUA